rnacentral:rRNA from 1 species
GACGAACGCUGGCGGCGUGCUUAACACAUGCAAGUCGAACGGUGAAGCGCUUGCCUUUUUGGUGGGUGUGGAUGAGUGGCGAACGGGUGAGUAACACGUGAGUAACCUGCCCUCUUCUUCUGGAUAACCUCAUGAAAGUGGGGCUAAUACGGGGUAUUCCGGGUCUGUCGCAUGGCGGGUUUGGGAAAGAUUGCGCCUUUGGGUGUUUUCGGUGGGGGAUGGGCUCGCGGCCUAUCAGCUUGUUGGUGGGGUGAUGGCCUACCAAGGCGGUGACGGGUAGCCGGCCUGAGAGGGUGGACGGCCACACUGGGACUGAGACACGGCCCAGACUCGUGCGGGAGGAAGCAGUGGGGAAUAUUGCACAAUGGGCGCAAGCCUGAUGCAGCGACGCCGCGUGAGGGAUGGAGGCCUUCGGGUUGUGAACCUCUUUCGCCAGUGAAGCAGGCCUGCUCCUGUGUGGGUGGGUUGACGGUAGCUGGAUAAGAAGCGCCGGCUAACUACGUG